AGCGAACGCUGGCGGCAGGCCUAACACAUGCAAGUCGAACGAACCCUUCGGGGUUAGUGGCGGACGGGUGAGUAACACGUGGGAACGUGCCUUUAGGUUCGGAAUAACUCAGGGAAACUUGUGCUAAUACCGAAUGUGCCCUUCGGGGGAAAGAUUUAUCGCCUUUAGAGCGGCCCGCGUCUGAUUAGCUAGUUGGUGAGGUAAUGGUUCACCAAGGCUACGAUCAGUAGCUGGUCUGAGAGGAUGACCAGCCACAUUGGGACUGAGACACAGCCCAAACUCCUACGGGAGGCAGCAGUGGGGAAUCUUGCGCAAUGGGCGAAAGCCCGACGCAGCCAUGCCGCGUGGAUGAUGAAGGUCUUAGGAUUGUAAAAUCCUUUCACCGGUGAAGAUAAUGACUGUAGCCGGAGAAGAAGCCCCGGCUAACUUCGUGCCAGCCGCCGCGGUAACAC
rnacentral:rRNA from 1 species